AAAAAGAUGACACAUUGAUACCCAUCGGGGACACACACACACCCCGUGGCAACACACACCACUGACACACUCAUCUUCCUACCUAUCUUUCUCUCUCUCGCACGGACACAGUACAAGCAUCAAGCAGCGCCACCGCCCUCCCGCCGCCGGCGCAGGGACCCUCCCCCUCCCCCUCCCUUGCUGUGUGCUGCUUGGGCAGGGACCGCCGCUCCCCUGCCUCCCUAGUCCCCACCGCUGCUGAGACGGACGCGAUUCCCUUGCCUAUCCACCUCCGUCGGCGGAGGCGCAGAGUUCGUCUCCACCAGAUCCUCGGUCGCGGACUCGAUGUGAGCGCUGGAGGGUUCUGCAGCGCCUACUUCCUCCUCCCGCGGGACAAGACGCAGAAUCGGAGCGAGCGCCGAGGAGCGCCGGCGAGUCCGCCUUGCUCCGAUGGGUUGGGCGUGUUGCGAGCUUCACCAUGUGGCCAAGUACAACGUGCUCCAGAGUGGAUGGUCGACGCCCUCCCCACCUCGCCCGUGACUGGUUUAGUUCUGACGGAAACAGCUAUGGGACAGGUACAACAUGAAGUUGGGUUCUAGUGUUUUAGCCACAGUGCAGGGAAGCAAGCUUGGAUUCACUGAAUGAUGUGUACACACCAAGUGCAACUCGCUUUCAUAAUAGCAAGCAACCCAUUUCUGAGGUACGUUCUAUUCGCUUGCAGCCCUUUUAAGAGUUUGAUCUCCUCUGAUGGUGUUGCUUGAUAAGCGGUGUUUAUCGAUGUGCUGUCUCAGAAAAGCGCUUUCUUCAGGACAACAUAUAAGAACAAUUUUUGCUUAAUUGUAUUGCAGAUAUUUAGAGAAGCAUGUACUGAAUUUGAUUGGCACAAAAUGAUUUGUCGUAGAUUGUCAUAGAGAUUUCGUAUAGUCCUUUCAUUCAAAUGGCCUAAAAGUAACAUAAAAAUGUGGUAAUCCAUUGGCACAAAUGGACUGCAUACAGUACUCUCAAAGUCUGCAAUACAAUACCAAUUGGCAGGCCAACAUUCAGAGAAGCAUGUACUGAACUUAUGUUGUCGAAAUUCAGAAAAGCAUGUACUGGAUUUAGUAAGUAGAAAUUCAGAGAAGCAUGAGUGAA